rnacentral:rRNA from 1 species
GGUGAACGCUGGCGGUAGGCCUAACACAUGCAAGUCGAACGGCAGCACAGGAGAGCUUGCUCUCUGGGUGGCGAGUGGCGGACGGGUGAGGAAUACAUCGGAAUCUACUCUGUCGUGGGGGAUAACGUAGGGAAACUUACGCUAAUACCGCAUACGACCUACGGGUGAAAGCAGGGGACCUUCGGGCCUUGCGCGAUUGAAUGAGCCGAUGUCGGAUUAGCUAGUUGGCGGGGUAAAGGCCCACCAAGGCGACGAUCCGUAGCUGGUCUGAGAGGAUGAUCAGCCACACUGGAACUGAGACACGGUCCAGACUCCUACGGGAGGCAGCAGUGGGGAAUAUUGGACAAUGGGCGCAAGCCUGAUCCAGCCAUACCGCGUGGGUGAAGAAGGCCUUCGGGUUGUAAAGCCCUUUUGUUGGGAAAGAAAUCCAGCUGGCUAAUACCCGGCUGGGAUGACGGUACCCAAAGAAUAAGCACCGGCUAACUUCGUGCCAGCCGCCGCGGUAA